GUUUGUGGGGAGCGGCAGGCCACUUGCUAAGUGUGUGUUCUUUGAUUGGAGGGAAACUUUGUUUGUCUGUGCAGCGAUUGGUCAGAGAGGCCCGCCAUUUAUACGAGCGGCGUCUCCUGUGUGACGUGGACAUGGAGCACUUGGAUUUGAAUCCACAAGUCACUGCAUCUCUUAAAAAGGCAAAUAUAAAAUCUGUUGAAGACAUCUUAGCAUACUCUGUGGUGGAUCUUCAGAGAGUUGCUCAUCUCUCCAUUCCUGAUGUCCAGCACUUACAGAAAGCUGCGGCUGUUAGAUUGCAGAGGGAUAAAAAUGUAAUUACAGCAUUGCAGUUAUAUAUGGACAAGGCCUCUUUCCCUUCCCAGCACCAAAAGUUGAGCCUCGGUUGCAGCCUCUUGAAUAAUUUCCUGCGAGGGGGGAUCCCUAUAAUCGGCAUUACUGAACUUGCAGGGGAAAGCUCUGCGGGGAAAACCCAGAUAGCUUUACAGCUGUGUCUGUCUGUCCAGUAUUCUGCAGAAUAUGGAGGUCUUGGAGCAGGGGCUGUGUACAUCUGCACAGAGGACAGCUUUCCCAGCAAGAGACUGCAGCAGUUGAUAAAGUUCCAGCAUAAAUUGAGAACAGAUGUCCCGGCUGAUGUUAUACGCAGCAUCCACUUUGGAGACAGCAUUUAUAUUGAGCAUAUGGCUGAUAUAGACACGCUCACCGACUGCAUCACUAAAAAGCUUCCCAUCCUCUUUCGUCGGAGUCCGGUUCGCCUAAUUGUCAUUGAUUCUAUUGCAGCUUUGUUUCGCUGUGAAUUUACUGCCAAGGAUGCUGCCCUAAAAGCAAAACAUCUACAGUCACUUGGAGCCAAACUGCACCAUCUCAGCACCAUUUUCACAGCACCUGUAUUCUGCAUCAAUCAGGUGACAGACACCAUGAAGGACGCAGACACUGCCCUGAAUCUCAUGGGGUUACAGGAUAAAAAGGUUCAGCCGGCACUGGGAAUCUCCUGGUCCAACCAGCUUUUGAUGAGGCUUAUGGUGUCUCGGACACAGCUGAUGGCUCCUCUACCACAUACAGGCUGUAUUCUACGGAAUAUGGAAGUAAUUUUUGCGCCUCAUAUUCCUCCCUCAACUUGUUAUUACACCGUAGACCUGGAAGGAGUGAAAGGAAUUGAUGCUACAUGAACUGUUCACACAUUGAUCAGGCAAAGGUUUUUUUGUUCAGACUCUAUUUCUGAGGAUUGGAAAAAGCAGAUAUAUGCAGAAGUAUAACUUUAAUGGACCAAGUCAACUAGUGAAUAUAUUCGGUUCAUUUUCCAAACUUAAUUUAGUCUCAGAAACACAGCAAACCAUGCUUUUUUGGUGGUAUGCCAACAUUUGCCCUUGACGGAGAGAAUGGACGCUGCACUGCACUGUUCAGUAAGAGAAAGGGCUUGUAACAUGUGAGAGAAUUUCUAAGUAAUGGAUUAAAAUAGUCCCAGUCAUUUCAGAUAAGAGUUAAUCACUCAGACUUUACUCUAUUGAAUUACUCCAAUAUAUGGACCCGGAAUAUUCCCUUCUCUCGUCUACACGCAGGUAUUGAGGACACACAUUGCAGCCAGGUGGAAGACUCCAUCUGUACCGGCUACUGCUGACAUUAUUGACGCUGUCAAGACCAACUGUUUCUAUGAAGUAACGUACGCAUGGAAGUUGAAUACCAGAGCUGACUGCGAGUCUAGAUGGUGCAGCUGGACGAAACAUUAUCCACAGUCCUAACUAUUGCACGUUUCACACUUAAAUGGCGUUACUUGUGUUCCAGUGUUCAUAGUACACAUGUACAUAGGUCAUUACAUGAUGUAUGUUAUAUUCUCCACAUACUUUAUAUGGCUGCCUGUGGCGAGAGGGGAGGACUGCGGGAUCCUACAUAAAUUUACUUGCUGAUGGACUACUUCAGGUAUAGUAAAGUUAUUAGUUAUCUGUUCAUUUAAUUAAUGGUAAAUCUUAUAGAUUUUUCAAACACAUUCCGGAUAUGCGAUGGAUCUGAUUAUUAUUAUAAUUUUUUUUUUAAAGAAGUGUAUCUAAACUGAGUGAUCAUUUCUAAAGAAUUUGUAUGAUUCUGUUCUAUUUAUUUCUGUAUUGUUCUUUUGGCCGUGUUUGUUAUCUAUUGGGCAAUUCGGUUUUGUGAAAAAAUUUUCUUGAAAAAUUCAAUAAAAUUUUUUUUGAACCAUAGAAUACUGUGUACAGUACUGGGCACCAGUGUACAAGAAAGAUAUAGUGGAUCUGGAGAGGGUUCAAAGACUUUCAAACAGGGUAAUACGGGGAAUGGGAGGACUACAGUACCCAGAAAGGUUAUCAGAAUUGGGGUUAUUUAGUUUAGAAAAAAGAAGGCUUAGGGGCGACCUAAUAACUAUGUAUAAAUAUAUCAGGGGACAGUACAGAGAUCUCUCCCAUGAUCUAUUUAUACCCAGGACUGUAUCUAUAACAAGAGGGCAUCCUCUACGUCUAGAGGAAAGAAGGUUCCUACACAAGCACAGACGGGGGUUCUUUACUGUAAGAGCAGUGAGACUGUGGAAUUCUCUGCCUGAGGAGGUGGUCAUGGGGAACUCUGUAAAAGAGUUCAAAAGGGAUCUGGAUGCAUUUUUUGAGAAUAAUAACAUUACAGGUUAUGGAUUCUAGAUCUAUAGGGACAGAACAUUGAUCCAGGGAUUUAUUCUGACUGCCAUAUUUGGAGUCGGGAAGGAAUUUUUACCUCUAGAAUGAGGGUUUUUUGCCUUCCUCUGGAUCAACAUAGUAGAGACUCAUUAGGGAUAUAGGUUGAACUUGAUGGACUUUUUUCAACCUUAUGAACUAUGUUACUAUGUAUUAAGCCUGUUAAGGUUGUAUUUGUGCGAGGGGCGUAAGUAUUGAACAUCCCUCCACCUCUAGGCGGAGUUUACAGGAGUUAGGGCAGGAGGGCGUGAGUAUGUAACGCCCCCUGUACCCUGUGGCAGGGCGUACGUGGUGUUCUGCGUCCACCGUUUGAAUCUCCCGCCUUACCGUUUGGAGCCCCGGCAGCCGCACACUGCACUGGAGCUUCGCUGUGUCUGAAUUAAUGUUAGGUGUCAGGGCGUCUCUUUUAGCCUGCUCGCUGCCUCAUAGUGGGAUGCUGGGUUGCCCGUCUUCUGCCUGGUAAAGUAUCCGAGUUGCGUCUGCUUUGGACUGGUAAGUGACGUUUUGCGGAUCCAACCCCACAUCUGCAGCAUUCACAGCGAGACACCGGAGACCCGUUGUUGUUGUGCACAUCAUCCUCCCAUUUCCAGGGAGCAGCACGUUUUCUGGCGAUUCCCCGGUGACCCGGCACGAUCAGCCAAGUAUAUAUAACGGCGUUGAGUGGGUCACAGAGCUUGGAUGGUGCGGCUGGGGUAUGCGGAUAACUUUUCAGAGUACAGAGCCUGGCUGAAGGGUGUAGGGGGGCCGGUAGGAGUAAGUAACUAGCUGUGCUGCGUGACUCAUGAAGCGAGGAGAACAAUUAACUACGGUAGCGCGAACGCUGUCACUCCUGUCAUAUAUGCUAAGAGCAAUGUCCAGUUAGGUCCUCCAUCUUUGUUCCAUAGGUUCAUAUCCCAGACAGGUGCUUGUUGUGUAACCAGCUAAAACGGCAUUCUGAUCUGUACUGUAGUGUGCCUAUUUAAGUCAAUGGCCCAAAUCAGUGCAUCUUGACUAAAUGUAGUGUACUGCAUUACAGUAUGUUUAAUGUUGGAAUGGCAUAGUGUGGUAGGAAACAGCUCAUGCACAAUCAAUCCAUUAUGCUUAAGCAGAUUAAGAUUAGGGCACGUUUCACACACAUUUUCUGACGCAUGCCACAAACAUGUACAAAACAAGAUAAAUUUGGUUGAUUACUGUUUACACGCAUAUAUGCCAUACUGUUUGAUUCGCUCACAGGGGUGUGGAAAUAAAAAAUAAAAAAAACUACUUGUCCAAGGGACUAAAGCGGAACACAAUCUACUUGUCCCUCAAGAAAAUCCAUUUGUCCUGGUAGAUAAAAUAAUUUCAACCAAAAUAGUCUGUAAAUAAGGUCUUUAUUAGUUUCUGCACUUUCGUUUUUUCCUCCUCGUCCUAUAAUAGCCACAACUCAUAUUUUUACAUCUACAGACCCAAAUGAGGCUUGUAUUUUGUGGGGCCAAUUAUGCUUUGUAAUGACACCUUUCACUUUUCCAUAACUUAUACUCUGAAACAAAAAAUUUUUUAAAAAAUAUAAAAAUUUGAAUUAUGAAAUAGAAUUUUUUUUUUCCGCCAUUCACCUUGUGGUCAAACUUAUAUAUUAUUUUUAUACUUUAGGUCGGCCUGAUUACACUAAUACCAAAUUUGUUUCGUUACCGUCAUGUUUUAAUAAUGAUAAUAAUAAUAAUAAAUUAUUAUAAUUUUUUUACAUUUUAAUAAAAAAAAAAAAUCCUGACCCCUAUAACAUUUUUAUUUUUUAUUAUACUGGGCUGUAUGAGGGCUCGUUUUUUUGGGCCGUAAUAUGCUGUUUGUAUCGGUACCAUUUUGGUAAUGAUCUGACUUUUUGAACACUUUUUUUUACUUGAUGUUAUAAACAUAAAAAAUGCAAUUCUGUGAUUUUGUAUUUUUUAUUUUUUUAUGUUAACGCCAUUUAUCGUACGGGAUAUAAAAUCUUAUCUAUUAAUAGUUCGGACAAUUACGCAUGUGCCGAUACCAAAUAUGUAUAUUUUUAUUAUGUUUACACAUUUUUGUAUGGAAAAGGGGGAUGAUAUGAACUUUUAAUAUUGAAAGGGUUAAUGGGUCUUUUAUUAAACUUUAUUUUUUUUUUAUAAACUUUUUUAGGAGGAAUCAUUUAGAUUCCUCAUACAGAUCAAUGCAGAUCUAUUGAACUCCAUUGAUCUGUGCUUAUUUGGUUGAGCCUGCUCAAGGCAGGCUCAAUCAAAUGCAGAUCUAUGGGGGCAGCCAUGAAUGCAGAGGU